rnacentral:rRNA from 1 species
GACGAACGCUGGCGGCGUGCCUAAUACAUGCAAGUCGAACGCAGUGGGGACGGGUGAGUAACACGUGGGUAACCUCCCAUCAGAGGGGAUAACACUUGGAAACAGGUGCUAAACCGAUACUGAUGGAUGGACCCGCGGUGCAUUAGCUAGUUGGUGAGGUAACGGCGCACCAAGGCCACGAUGCAUAGCAGAGCUGAGAGCGUGAGCGGCCACACGGGGACAGAGACACGGCCAAGAGUCCUACGGGAGGAAGCAGUAGGGAAGCUUCGGCAAUGGAAGAAAGGCUGACCGAGCAACGCAGCGUGAGUGAAGAGGGGUUUAGGAUCGUAAAACUCUGUUGUUAGAGAAGCGGUAGCUAGCCAGAAAGCCACGGCUAACUACGUGCCAGCAGCCGCGGUAAUUC